CGUAGGGGGCGAGUGUUGUCCGGAAUUACUGGGCGUAAAGGGCGCGUAGGCGGCCCGCUAAGUCCGUUGUGAAAGACCGAGGCUCAACCUCGGAGUGUCAACGGAGACUGGUAGGCUGGAGGGUCGGAGAGGAGCGGGGAAUCCCUGGUGUAGCGGUGGAAUGCGUAGAGAUCAGGGGGAACACCGAUGGCGAAGGCACCGCUCUGGCCGAUCACUGACGCUGAGGCGCGAAAGCUGGGGGAGCGAACGGGAUUAGAUACCCCGGUAGUCCCAGCCGUAAACGAUGUCGACUAGGUGUGGGGGGAGUCACUCCCUCCGUGCCGCAGCUCACGCAUGAAGUCGACCGCCUGGGGAGUACGGCCGCAAGGUUG
rnacentral:rRNA from 1 species